GGACGCACCUCUGGAGAGCGCGUUUAAAUACGCCACCAAAGGGGAAGGCUCAAUCCGAUCGCUGGAUGGAGUUAAACUCUCAGGUAAAAGGACAGAGAAGGGAAC
rnacentral:ncRNA from 2 species